rnacentral:rRNA from 1 species
GAUGAACGCUGGCGGCGUGCCUAAUACAUGCAAGUCGAGCGGACGGACGAGAAGCUUGCUUCUCUGAUGUUAGCGGCGGACGGGUGAGUAACACGUGGAUAACCUACCUAUAAGACUGGGAUAACUUCGGGAAACCGUAGCUAAUACCGGAUAAUAUUUUGAACCGCAUGGUUCAAAAGUGAAAGACGGUCUUGCUGUCACUUAUAGAUGGAUCCGCGCUGCAUUAGCUAGUUGGUAAGGUAACGGCUUACCAAGGCAACGAUGCAUAGCCGACCUGAGAGGGUGAUCGGCCACACUGGAACUGAGACACGGUCCAGACUCCUACGGGAGGCAGCAGUAGGGAAUCUUCCGCAAUGGGCGAAAGCCUGACGGAGCAACUCCGCGUGAGUGAUGAAGGUCUUCGGAUCGUAAAACUCUGUUAUUAGGGAAGAACAUAUGUGUAAGUAACUGUGCACAUCUUGACGGUACCUAAUCAGAAAGCCACGGCUAACUACGUG